UGCUAUUGGCUGUGCUAGCCGCGUAGGGCGAGGCCAGUCAGGGUCCCGAUGCAGAGAGGGGGCGGGUAACUUUUGGCGGCUUCCAUCCCCGGUGUGGUGAGCGCGGGGGCGGUGUUGUGGGGGCAUCUCGGAGGAUUUUCUGAGUUUCCAGUGAUGGGUCUGUGGUCUUGGAGCUGCCCUUGGUUGGUUGUACUCGGGGCUUACCAGGCUUGCAGAGAGAGCAUCUGUCUGAGGAAGCCGAGGCAUGCCUGUUAGUGAUUCAAAUCACCUACUCUGAAGAAAUCUGAAUGUGGCUUCAGUGGGAAUUUUAAGGAAAUCUACUGCACUCCUAAUGUUGCAGAUGUUCCUGCUGCGGAAGCCAAUCUCAUACCAUUCUGAAGACCUGUAAUAUAUGAUAAAAAUCAGUAAUAUUUAAAUGAAGUUGCAGUGCUUAUACAAGUCCCUCUAAUUUGUUCUUGUAAUCUGAAUUGGAUUGUCUAUUAUAAUGGGUACCUAGUUUCUAAAUUGAUUUGUAACACACUUCUAGUGAAAUACUUAAGCUCUAAAAUUCUUCCACUGUAGAUAUUACUCACGUUACAUAAUACAACAUUAUUCAGUACCACACAGCUGACCCUUAUGUAACUCAUGUUGGCUUCAUUAGGUAAAAACUAGCUAUACACAAUCCCUGGAUAAUUAAAACUAUUAGUAAACUCUUGUGAAAUAUGCUAA